rnacentral:lncRNA from 10 species
UUUUACUAGAAGAGAGCUUUUUCUUUUACUCAUCUCUUUUGUUUUAAUCUCAUCGUUGGUGCCAUAGCUUCUUAAUUUUUUUUUGGAUGUAAUACAAAAGUCUUUGGGUAUAAUAUCAUAUGAAGGGAUACUACUAUAUCUUGGUGCAUUGGUGGGACUACAACAUAUAUUGAUGCAUGGGCUGAGAAACAAAUAAUUCAUAAGAGGGGGCAGCAGUGAAGUUGGAAGUUUCCUUGGUGGCACAAGAAGAAAAGCUGAUGAAAUGGCUGUUGGAGGGCCUGCAUAAGGGUGGCAGGUGUCCUCCAUGGAUACAAUCAUAAUCUUCACCCAUGGUUCCAGAGGAGCUAGUAAGAAGGAGAAGUAAUGUUCACCUGCACAAGGCGUUAGCUCUCCACUAGUGAUCCUUUGUUGGUCUCCUAAGCAUACUCAACCCAGAAGAUUCCAAAGGACUCAGGAACAGCCACAGCAAAAAGAGAUGAUGCAAAAUAAAGACAAAGACCAGUGACCCAAUUACAGGCCCAUAAAAUCCAAGAUACUUGACAUUCACCUGUAAACUCCUCUCAGUGAGGUAAGCCAGGGUACCUUAGGAAGAAUGGCUAAGGCAUCAAAAUGUAGCUACCUUGACCCUUUCCAUCCUGUGUUGGUGACUACUACAUGUUGGACUGCCUCCAAGAGUGUUCAUCACAGUGUGGGGCCAGUUUCCCAGAUGGUCCAGUAGACUAAUGCAUCCCAGAUCUCAAUUCCCACACUUCAUUUAUUGCCAUCUCAUUAAUGCACCACAAUGUAGCAAUCUCUCAUUGUGAGGUGUCAAGCAGAGCUCUUUGUCUCAUGGCCAAGAAAAUUAAGGAGCAUGGAUGCAAACAGGUUGAAGCAAAAGUUUUAUAAGUGAAAGUAAAAAGCUCUUUACAGUGGAGGUGGGGUGUAAGUUGUUUGCCUACUAUAAGGCUGGGCUUCAGGGUUGAUAAAGACAGAAAAUGAAAGAAAUGUGCUUAGUGGUCUUGGAGAAACAUUACUCAGCUUGGCCCUGCACUUUGGCUGGGGAUUCAUCAGGAGGUUAAGUAAUGAUUUAUAGAUACAACUUAGCUUGGCCUUCAUCCUUUGCCCUGGACCAAGCAGCAGCUAAAGUGAAAGCUUGGUCUGAUACCUUGGCCUGGGACCAAUAACAUGCUGAAGUGUUGUUUCAUGACCAAGAUAAUUAAUGAAACUACACAUAAAGUUCAGAUAAGACAGAAGUUUAAUAAUCAAAAGAAGAAAGCUGUUCACAUUAAAGAAGGGACCCAUGAGACUUUCCAACUAUAAUGCUGGGUCUGAGGUUUUUGUGAACUGGAAAGAAAGAAAUAUUCUGAGUUGCAUGUGGGCUAUCUUGAAGAAAGCAGUAAUCAGCUUGGUUCAGGACCUGACCUGGGACAAAUCAGAGGAUGAAAUAAAAGCUUUGUUUGGGGCAUUGCAUCAGGAAAACACAGAAGCUGAAGGGAUGAUUCAGAAACACUUGGCUCACAGGUCAAAACAUAUUCAAAGUAGAAAAGUGUCCCAGCAGAGCCCACUAGAGCCUACUAGGUAUCAUGCCCACAAAGACAGAAUUGUCUAUUUUUUUGAAGCCUGCUGAUUAUAUGAAUGACAAAGGUAUCUCUACAUGUGGCCUUCCUCCCCUAUCUGUGCAGCUGUGCAUAUGUUUUAGGCAAAAACGCAAAGGCAUUUUCAUGUUCUUUCCUGUUUUCUGAUUAUUGCAGCUGUGAACAUGUCUUUUGCUACUCUCCUCUUCUAGUUCUCUUACAGUUGCCUGCAACUUAACUUUUCAGUCUGUUUCUGUGCUUAAAAGAGUUUUACCAAGAACCCUUCCUAGUUUCCUGUUUUUUCUCUCCCACAUCAUGAAGGUAAAUUUAAUGUGUUUUGUGCAUAAAACAAAGCUGUGUGAAGAAAUAUUCUGUGGAGCUUUCCGCUUGUGUCAUGUCAUCACUCAAGUUUCACAUUGGAGUACAUUUAAUGUUUUUAUGUUAGCAAUGUUCAACCUGCACUUUCUUCUUUUAAAAUAAACGACUUUGAAAAAGAGAAUAAAUUGUUUUAAUUCUUAGAUCAUUUGGUAGAAUUUGACAGUGGA